rnacentral:rRNA from 1 species
ACGUGGGCAAUCUGCCCUUCACUCUGGGACAAGCCCUGGAAACGGGGUCUAAUACCGGAUACUGACCCUCGCAGGCAUCUGCGAGGUUCGAAAGCUCCGGCGGUGAAGGAUGAGCCCGCGGCCUAUCAGCUUGUUGGUGAGGUAAUGGCUCACCAAGGCGACGACGGGUAGCCGGCCUGAGAGGGCGACCGGCCACACUGGGACUGAGACACGGCCCAGACUCCUACGGGAGGCAGCAGUGGGGAAUAUUGCACAAUGGGCGAAAGCCUGAUGCAGCGACGCCGCGUGAGGGAUGACGGCCUUCGGGUUGUAAACCUCUUUCAGCAGGGAAGAAGCGAAAGUGACGGUACCUGCAGAAGAAGCGCCGGCUAACUACGUGCCAGCAGCCGCGGUAAUACGUAGGGCGCAAGCGUUGUCCGGAAUUAUUGGGCGUAAAGAGCUCGUAGGCGGCUUGUCACGUCGGUUGUGAAAGCCCGGGGCUUAACCCCGGGUCUGCAGUCGAUACGGGCAGGCUAGAGUUCGGUAGGGGAGAUCGGAAUUCCUGGUGUAGCGGUGAAAUGCGCAGAUAUCAGGAGGAACACCGGUGGCGAAGGCGGAUCUCUGGGCCGAUACUGACGCUGAGGAGCGAAAGCGUGGGGAGCGAACAGGAUUAGAUACCCUGGUAGUCCACGCCGUAAACGGUGGGCACUAGGUGUGGGCA